rnacentral:rRNA from 1 species
UACGAAGGGGGCUAGCGUUGCUCGGAAUCACUGGGCGUAAAGCGCACGUAGGCGGCUUGUUAAGUCAGGGGUGAAAUCCUGGAGCUCAACUCCAGAACUGCCUUUGAUACUGACGGUCUUGAGUUCGGGAGAGGUGAGUGGAACUGCGAGUGUAGAGGUGAAAUUCGUAGAUAUUCGCAAGAACACCAGUGGCGAAGGCGGCUCACUGGCCCGAUACUGACGCUGAGGUGCGAAAGCGUGGGGAGCAAACAGG